GACGAACGCUGGCGGCGUGCUUAACACAUGCAAGUCGAACGGAAAGGUCCUGCUUUUGUGGGGUGCUCGAGUGGCGAACGGGUGAGUAACACGUGAGUAACCUGCCCUUGACUUUGGGAUAACUUCAGGAAACUGGGGCUAAUACCGGAUAGGAGCUCCUGCUGCUUGGUGGGGGUUGGAAAGGUUCGGCGGUUGGGGAUGGACUCGCGGCUUAUCAGCUUGUUGGUGGGGUAGUGGCUUACCAAGGCUUUGACGGGUAGCCGGCCUGAGAGGGUGACCGGCCACAUUGGAACUGGAAUACGGCCCGGACUCCUCCGUGAGGCAGCAGUGGGGAGUGUUGCACAAUGGAAGGAACGCUGGUGCGACAACGCCGCGUGCGGGAAAACAGCCUUCGGGUUGUAAACCGCUUUCGCCUGUGACGAGGCGUGAAUGACGGUAAUGGGUAAAGAAGCACCGGCUAACUACGUG
rnacentral:rRNA from 1 species